AAGGGGGAAAGUCCUGUUGGGCUCUGCCCCUUUCUCCUCGUUCGUGGGUGGGGCUGACUGGUCGUCAGGUGGUUCCGUUUCUUUUUCUUGGAGAAUCGUUUGGCCAGUCGACGUUAUUGGCGCGCUUCGCGGGGCCCAGAGAGGAGCGGCGCUCCGCCGGCCGUCUGACCGGUGCGCGAAGCUAUGGCGCCUAAGAGCCGCGUCCAGCUCUGCUUUCGGGCCCUGGCGUAGAGGCGGCAGGUAUCAGCCAAGAAAAUGCUUGAAACCCGCAGGGAAUUUUCGUGCAGGCAUUUAACUAAAUGGGCAGAUCUGACUAUGGAUAAUUAUAAAUAUCAGUGGCUGCUUUGGGGAGCUUUCGAUAUUCCCAAACUUGAAUUUCUGAAGGCUAAAUUGUGUAGUGACAGUGCUGAAACUAAGAAAGCGGAACGGAGAUGCCUAUUUGGAGUGGUGUAUUGGGGCCUCCGAUCAAGACUGUAACUCUAAAGUUACCUUUUUACAAAAUAAAGUCUCACAGCUAACAGAGACUGUUAAAAAUGAAAAAAAAAAAAAA